AAGAAAGAGAGUCAUUGAUGAUCUCCCUGGUGAGGUAUCACCAUACCCAGUGGCCAUUUGUACUUUUCUGUACAACUCUGGCAUAAACUCUGAGCAAGUUUCAUCCUGCUCACUUCCAGCUAUAACUGUGCCUUGAAGAUGUUUGAGAGGUGACUAACAUUAGAAUGAUAAAACAAUAGGCACAAGCAGUACAGGGAAGGCAGAAAGAACAUGGGGUGAAUUCAAGAGCCAUAAUUCAACAGUCAGCAAACAAAGGGCAUGAUGCCAGACAAGUUCAGCCAUAAAGGAGCCUUGUCUUGGGGGCAGGCUGUGAUUGUUUGUGGACA